UUAGAUUUUGGACUUCGAAGAAAGGAGAGGUAUGUGUUACUACAAAAAUCUUGUAAUUAUUUUGGUUUAUAGUAUUUACUAAUUAACAUAUUAAUAAUUUCAUAACGUAGGAUCGUGAGCAAGUUGGAAAAAGUAGUAGGCAGAAACAAAAAUUCACUCACACAGCUGGCUCGAGAAGUUUUGCUUGUGUAGCUCAAGCCGAG
rnacentral:lncRNA from 1 species